rnacentral:rRNA from 1 species
UACGGGGGGGGUAAGCGUUGUUCGGAAUUACUGGGCGUACAGGGCUCGUAGGCGGCCAACUAAGUCGGACGUGAAAUCCCUCAGCUUAACUGGGGAACUGCGUCCGAUACUGGAUGGCUUGGAUUUGGGAGAGGGAUGCGGAAUUCCAGGUGUAGCGGUGAAAUGCGUAGAUAUCUGGAGGAACACCGGUGGCGAAGGCGGCAUCCUGGACCAAUAUUGACGCUGAGGAGCGAAAGCCAGGGGAGCAAACGGG